AACUUUUAACAAUGGAUCUCUUGGCUCCGGCGUCGAUGAAGAACGCAGCGAAAUGCGAUACGUGAUGUGAAUUGCAGAUUUUGUGAAUCAUCGAAACUUUGAACGCACAUUGCGCCUAUUGGUAAACCUUUAGGCACGUCUGUUUGAGCGUUGUUUAAAUCUCGGGCAAACCGGCUUUGGGAGUUGUGCUCUGCACAUUCCUUAAAUACCUCGGCUAGCAUUGAAGGCUAUAGCACGGCGAAACGUGUGUCCCCCUUUUGUCUAUCUGUCGAUUUACUCGUACCUCAACCUCAAAUCAGACGGGGAUACCCGCUGAACUUAAGCAUAUCAAUAAGCGGAGGCU
rnacentral:misc_RNA from 1 species